GGGUGGGAUCACACCAGCACUAAUGUACCGGAUCCCAUUAGAACUUUUGAAUUUAAGUGUGCUUGGGCAAGAGUCAUAUUAAGACUGGCUUUGUUAUAGAACUUC
rnacentral:rRNA from 1 species